rnacentral:rRNA from 1 species
UUGGACGUUCUUCUUGCUAUGGCGGUAUGACUGGUGAACCGUAGUUCAUGCGUGACUUGGCUUUUGAAUCGGCUUUGCUGUGCGAAGUAGAGUGACAGUUUCGGCUGUCGAGGGUCGACCCAUUUGGGAAAUUGUGCUGUGCGACUUCGGUCACRURGCAUCUCAAUUGGACCUGAUAUCAGGCAAGAUUACCCGCUGAACUUAAGCAUAUUAUA